rnacentral:rRNA from 1 species
ACGCCGGAAGACCAAGGGUUCCUGUCCAACGUUAAUCGGGGCAGGGUGAGUCGGCCCCUAAGGCGAGGCUGAAAAGCGUAGUCGAUGGGAAACGGGUUAAUAUUCCCGUACUUGGAUAAACUGCGAUGUGGGGACGGAGCAGGUUAGGUUAUCGCACUGUUGGAUAUGUGCGUUUAAGUUGGUAGGUGUGAAGUUUAGGCAAAUCCGGACUUCUAUAACACCGAGAGAUGAUGACGAGGCUCUACGGAGCUGAAGUAACCGAUACCACACUUCCAGGAAAAGCCACUAAGCUUCAGGUUUAUCUAAACCGUACUGAAAACCGACACAGGUGGUCAGGUAGAGAAUACCAAGGCGAUCGAGCGAAUCCUGGUCAAGGAACUCGGCAAAUCACUCCCGUGCCUUCGGUAUAAGGGAGACCCCUGAUGGUGAUGGAACUUGCUUCCGGAGCUUUCGGGGGUGGCACAGACCAGGGGGUAGCGACUGUUUACCAAAAACACAGGUGCAUGCGAAGGCGCAAGCCGCUGUAUAUGCACUGACGCCUGCCCGGUGCCGGAAGGUUAAGAGGAUCCGUCAAUCCCUUCGGGGACGAAGCGGUGAAUUCAAGCCCCGGUAAACGGCGGUGGUAACUAUAACCAUCCUAAGGUAGCGAAAUUCCUUGUCGGGUAAGUUCCGACCUGCACGAAUGGCGUAACGACUUCCCCACUGUCUCGACCAGGAGCUCGGCGAAAUUGCAGUACGAGUAAAGAUGCUCGUUAAGCGCAGAAGGACGAAAAGACCCCGGGACCUUUACUAUACCUUGGUAUUGGCGUUAGGCGCGGAUUGUGUAGCAUAGGCGGGAGGCUUCGAAGCAUGGGCGCCAGCCCGUGUGGAGCCGCAAGGUGAAAUACCGCUCUGUUCUCGUUUGACGUCUCACCUCGAACAGUCAUCCUGUUCAGGGACAGUGCCUGGCGGGUAGUUUAACUGGGGCGGUUGCCUCCCAAAGAGUAACGGAGGCGCUCAAAGGUCCGCUCAGCCCGGUUGGCAAUCGGGUUUCGAGUGUAAUCGCACAAGCGGGCUUGACUGCGAGGACGACGGUCCGAGCAGGGACGAAAGUCGGAGAUAGUGAUCCGGUGCCGGCGCACGGGCGCGGCAUCGCUCAACGGAUAAAAGGUACUCCGGGGAUAACAGGCUGAUCAUUCCCAAGAGUCCAUAUCGACGGGAUGGUUUGGCACCUCGAUGUCGGCUCGUCGCAUCCUGGGGCUGGAGCAGGUCCCAAGGGUUCGGCUGUUCGCCGAUUAAAGCGGCACGCGAGCUGGGUUCAGAACGUCGUGAGACAGUUUGGUCUCUAUCCUCUGCGCUCGUUGGAAUCCUGAGGAGGCCUGCCCAUAGUACGAGAGGACCUGGGUGGACGAACCUCUGGUAUGCCGGUUGUCGCGCCAGCGGCACGGCCGGUUGGCUACGUUCGGGAGGGAUAACCGCUGAAAGCAUCUAAGCGGGAAGCCUGCUCCAAGAUUAGGAUUCCAUGGAUCUUCGAGAUCCUGUAGCCCGCAUGUUGAACACGUGUUUGAUAGGCCGGAGGUGGAAGUCCCGCGAGGGAUGGAGCCGACCGGUACUAACGGGCGAACGCGGCACACU